UACGUAGGACCCAAGCGUUGUCCGGAAUCACUGGGUGUAAAGGGUGCGUAGGCGGACUUUUGCGUCGAAGGUUAAAGACCACAGCUUAACUGAGGGAGUGCCUUCGAUACGGGAAGUCUUGAGUUCGAGAGAGGUAAGUAGAAUUCCUGGUGUAGCGGUGAAAUGCGUAGAUAUCAGGAGGAAUACCAGUGGCGAAGGCGGCUUACUGGCUCGAUACUGACGCUGAGGCACGAAAGCGUGGGGAUCAAACAGG
rnacentral:rRNA from 1 species